rnacentral:rRNA from 1 species
UACGAAGGGGGCUAGCGUUGCUCGGAAUCACUGGGCGUAAAGGGCGCGUAGGCGGCCGGCCAAGUCGGGGGUGAAAGCCUGUGGCUCAACCACAGAAUGGCCCUCGAUACUGGACGGCUCGAGACCGGAAGAGGUUGGUGGAAUUGCGAGUGUAGAGGUGAAAUUCGUAGAUAUUCGCAAGAACACCGGUGGCGAAGGCGGCCAACUGGUCCGGAUCUGACGCUGAGGAGCGAAAGCGUGGGGAGCGAACAGG